GAAAUGCGAUAAGUAGUGUGAAUUGCAGAAUUCAGUGAAUCAUCGAAUCUUUGAACGCACAUUGCGCCCCUCGGUAUUCCGUGGGGCAUGCCUGUUCGAGCGUCAUCUACACCCUCAAGCUCUGCUUGGUGUUAGGCGUCUGUCCCGCCUCCGCGCGCGGACUCGCCCCAAAUGCAUUGGCAGCGGUUCCUUGCCCCCCUCUUUGCGCAGCACAUUGCCAUUCGAGGCGGCGGCGGCCCGCGUCCAACAAGCUCAACCCCCCCGUCUUUGACCUCGGAUCAGGUAGGGAUACCCGCUGAACUUAAGC
rnacentral:misc_RNA from 1 species